GAAUUUGUGUGCGGGUGAGAAAAAGAGCGAGAGAGCAAGCAUUGCGAAUGGUUAUUGAGCUUACGCCUACUGCAAUUACACUUUGGAUCCCGUUACUUGGAAUCGCACAAAGCGAGAACUGGGAAUAGUGUGAGCCGAAAAGUAAUAAUGCUCAAUUGUUAUUGUAUUAUAUCACGUCUCCUUUAAUCGUUCGUAUUCUGUGCGCGUCGUCUUCUUUGAUCGGUCGUUUCUGUGCGCGUGUGUUUUAAAUCGAUGUCGUACUAAAUAAAAAUAUAUAAAAUGUAAUUUAUAAUAGUCCCCUAACCGUUCUCUUGAUGUGUCAAUGUUUGGUAACAAGCCAUUAAAUAUUCAUAAUCGUGGUAUUUUUGACGUUGAACUCUUGCAUGUUUAACGCACAUGCAUACAUACAUAUUGCCAGACUACAUAUGUGUGUGAGAGAGUAAAAGAGGCAGAGAGAUAGCAUAGUAUAUUGUUAUUUCGCUUAUGCCAACUAUGGUAACAUUUUUUGAUCCCGUCACCUGGAAUGCAUAAAGCGAGCAAGCAAAUAUUCACUUGCUAUUGUUUAGUGCAAGUUGGCAAUUCAGUCGGUGCGCGACGUCUUCUUUAAUCGAUCGUUUUCAGUGCGCGUCGUCUAUUUUGAUCGGUAUAUUCUUUGCGCGUGUGUAUAAAAUCAAUAUCGUCGCAGAAUUUGUGUGUGGAUGAUAGAAAGAGCGAGAGAGCAAGCAAUACUGAUGCUUAUUGCGCUUACGCAAACUGACGUCACACUUUGGAUCCCGUUACACGGAAUGCAUAAAGCGAGCAUCGGAAAUAGUAGCUCUUUCAUUUUUGGCCCGCAUUGUUCCAGACUAUGUGUCUGCGAGAGCGAGAGAGAGUGAGCGAGUGAGAAAAAUUGCAGAUUACAUGCCAUCAUCGACAAGUGAUUCUGAGAUGCUUUAUAAGGAUUUUCACAGAAAUUAAUCUUCAAAAAUUAAAAUAACUAAAAGAGUUUGAAGAGACUGAAGCUUAUUUUCGAAUCCAAAGUGACCGCUAG